UGGUAAAAUGUAUAUGAGAUUAACUAAGUUAAUUAAAAUUCAAAGUAGAUUUUGAUUAUGACAGAAUUUGCUUAUGUCUUGACCAAGUCACGUGCCAGCAGUCGCGGUAAUACGUGGAAGAUAAGCGUUAUUCAUGUUCAACAGGUUUAAAGGGUACCUAGACGGUUAAUUAAACGUAAAAAUGAAUUAAUUAACUAGAGUUUAAUGUAAGAAAGAUUGAGUACGGUGAGUGUAGUGAUAAAAUACUGUCUUCGGAACUGGUAAAGGCGAAGGCCACUUUCUAUGUAAAAACUGACGUUAAGGGACGAAGGCUCGUAUCCAAAAAACAGGAUUAGAUACCCUGGUAUUUCGGGCAGAAAAUGAUGAGUGUCAUAUGCAAGUUUGUGUAUAAAUGAAAGUGUAAGCACUCCACCUCAAGAGUAACGUGGCAACAUGGGAACUGAAAUCAUUAGACCGUUUCUGAAACUCGUAGUGAAGUAUGUUGUUUAAUUUGAUAACCCACAAACAACCUUACCACACAAGCGUUGCACGGCUGUCUUCAGUCAUUGUUGUGAAACUAUGGUUAAAUCCAUCUAAUAGACGUAAACCCUUGCUUUAAAGUAGUCCCCUAUAGGUAGUGAUAUAAGGGACUAGGACAAGUCAUCAUGACCUGAAUA
rnacentral:rRNA from 1 species